AUUGAACGCUGGCGGCAGGCCUAACACAUGCAAGUCGAGCGAGCGACGGACGGGUGAGUAAUGUAUGGGGACUGCCCGAUAGAGGGGGAUAACUACUGGAAACGGUAGCUAAUACCGCCUAAUAUCUGAUACCACAAAUGGGAUUAGCUAGUAGGUGAGGUAAUGGCUCACCUAGGCAACGAUCCCUAGCUGGUCUGAGAGGAUGAGCAGCCACACUGGGACUGAGACACGGCCCAGAAUCCUACGGAGUCAGCAGUGGGGAAUAUUGCACAAUGGGCGCAAGCCUUAUGCAGCCAUGCCGAGUGUAUGAAGAAGGCCCUAGGGUUGAAAAGUACUUUCAGUCGGGAGGCGUGACCGACAGAAGAAGCACCGGCUAACUCCGUGCCAGCAGCCGCGGUAAUUC
rnacentral:rRNA from 1 species